AGCGUAGGCGGGAAGCCAAGUUGGAUGUGAAAUGCCGCAGCUCAACUGCGGAGCUGCAUCCAAAACUGGUUUUCUUGAGUGAAGUAGAGGUAGGCGGAAUUCCUAGUGUAGCGGUGAAAUGCGUAGAUAUUAGGAGGAACACCAGUGGCGAAGGCGGCCUACUGGGCUUUAACUGACGCUGAGGCUCGAAAGCGUGGGGAGCAAACAGGAUUAGAUACCCUGAUAGUCCACGCUGUAAACGAUGAUUACUAGGUGUGGGGGGUCUGACCCUUUCCGUGCCGGAGUUAACACAAUAAGUAAUCCACCUGGGGAGUACGGCCGCAAGGUUGAA
rnacentral:rRNA from 1 species